UACGUAGGGUGCAAGCGUUAAUCGGAAUUACUGGGCGUAAAGCGUGCGCAGGCGGUUUUGUAAGUCAGAUGUGAAAGCCCCGGGCUCAACCUGGGAAUUGCAUUUGAGACUGCGUAGCUAGGGUGCGGAAGAGGGAAGCGGAAUUUCCGGUGUAGCGGUGAAAUGCGUAGAUAUCGGAAGGAACACCAGUGGCGAAAGCGGCUUCCUGGUCCAGCACCGACGUUCAGGCACGAAAGCGUGGGGGGCAAACAGG
rnacentral:rRNA from 1 species